AACCUGUCAUAGUUGCCAUCAUUAGUUGGGCACUCUAAUGAGACUGCCGGUGACAAACCGGAGGAAGGUGGGGAUGACGUCAAGUCCUCAUGGCCCUUAUGGGUAGGGCUUCACACGUCAUACAAUGGUCGGUACAGAGGGUUGCCAAGCCGCGAGGUGGAGCCAAUCCCUUAAAGCCGAUCGUAGUCCGGAUCGUAGUCUGCAACUCGACUACGUGAAGUCGGAAUCGCUAGUAAUCGCAGAUCAGCAUGCUGCGGUGAAUACGUUCCCGGGUCUU
rnacentral:rRNA from 1 species